CGAAACUUAUUACCUCAAGGAGCUCGGAGGAGCAGACCUCCCGCGACCAUGGAGCUCGAAAAACUUGCGAGUGUAUUACCGAUAACUUUAUUUUAAAUAAAAGUUUCAUAUCUACAUGUCUCCUCUCUUGGCGUGAGCCUAUAUCGACAGGACAGUCAAAACAAACCGUGCCGGGUGCAGGAGGAGAACUUCAUCUCGACAAAGUCGAAGGCCCGGCUCUCCUUAGAUCAGAUGGGGGGGAGAGGCCAAAC
rnacentral:lncRNA from 1 species